rnacentral:rRNA from 1 species
AACGAACGCUGGCGGCAGGCUUAACACAUGCAAGUCGAGCGCCCCGCAAGGGGAGCGGCAGACGGGUGAGUAACGCGUGGGAAUCUACCCAUCUCUACGGAAUAACGCAUGGAAACGCGUGCUAAUACCGUAUACGUCCUUCGGGAGAAAGAUUUAUCGGAGAUGGAUGAGCCCGCGUUGGAUUAGCUAGUUGGCGGGGUAAAGGCCUACCAAGGCGACGAUCCAUAGCUGGUCUGAGAGGAUGAUCAGCCACACUGGGACUGAGACACGGCUCAGACUCCUACGGGAGGCAGCAGUGGGGAAUAUUGGACAAUGGGCGCAAGCCUGAUCCAGCCAUGCCGCGUGAGUGAUGAAGGCCCUAGGGUUGUAAAGCUCUUUCACCGGUGAAGAUAAUGACGGUAACCGGAGAAGAAGCCCCGGCUAACUUCGUGCCAGCCGCCGCGGUAAAAC